CGCGGGGUGGAGCAGCUCGGUAGCUCGCUGGGCUCAUAACCCAGAGGUCAUAGGUUCAAAUCCUAUCCCCGCUACCA
rnacentral:tRNA from 2 species